ensembl:lncRNA novel transcript
GAAAUCAACAAUGUUUUAGAUCAAAGCUGUUCCAUUUUCCUGGAUCCUAGUGGGGAGCUAACAUGGCGCAGAGCCACAGCCAAUCCAAGGACAUGUGAAUCCUAGAAAAGAGGAGUUCCUCCAAGGCCCUGGAAUCAGAAACUUGGAUUGCCAGGACCUGCCCUCAGUGUUCUUCACUCCACACAACACAGCUGACCCAGACAUCAUGUGCAGGAGGUACCUCCUGACAGCAGGCUUGACACCAGCUACUGUCCAGCUCCCCAGUAAACCAGAUUCCCUCAUUGCUCCUAAUGGGGUCUAGACUGCAGGAGGAGGAAGCAGGUGGGCAAUGUCCAGAUUUCCAUGAUGACCCUCUGAGGAGAUAUCCGUGGCUAGGUUACUGCACGACUACAGCAUCACAGAGGAGACUCCAGAACUCAAACUACCAAGAGCACCCCUCCAUCAGCUUUGUUUCCUAACUCCUGGCCUGCCUCCUUUCUUGUGGCGCCAUCUCACAGCCAAAUGACAACAAGCCCUCUCUGUCCCUCACAAAAUGCCUGUGAUAAAAAGUUCCCUUUGCAGCCAGACCAGCUGAGACUGGUACAUAGAACCAAGACAGCUGACCAAAGGACUUCAAAAAGACCUCAGUCUUCAUGAUAAUCUUAUUUCCAUGCUAAAUGAUACUCCCUCCAGCACCACGACAGUUGACAAUUGCCAUGACAAUGACUGGAAGAAGCCGUAAAAGGACUAAAAGGGAGGCGGUACUACUGAUUCCAGGAGGUUCACCACCCACUUCUGGAAAAGACAUGAAUAUUCUUC